rnacentral:lncRNA from 1 species
AUUUUGGUCAGGCUGGUCUCGAACUCCUGACCUUGUGAUCCGCCUGCCUCGGCCUCCCAAAGUGCUGGGAUUAUAGGCAUGAGCCACCGCGCCUGGCUGAGGCAUAUUUUAUAUAUAUAAUUCAUCCCUUUCAAGUGUACAAUUCAAUAAUUUUAGUCAAUUUACCAAACUGCACAGCCAUUACCUUAAUACAUUUUAGAACAUUACCAGUAAGACCAUACUUUCAGGGAUAUCACUUCUAGAGUUUAUUAUAGAACACUGUCAGUAUCCCAAAAGGAUCCCUCAUGCACACCUACCUGGAGGUCAAAAUAGAACCUUCAGAUGUUGUGCUUGGUCCACCAUAUUUAGAAUAUUCUUUUGAUGGCUGGGAGGAGUGGCUCAAAUCUGUAAUCCCAGCACUUUGGGAGGCCGAAGCAGGCGGAUCACAUGAGGUCGGGAGUUCGAGACCAGCCUGACCAACGUGGUGAAACCCCAUCUCUACUAAAAAUACAAAAAUUAGCCAGGUGUGGUGGCACAUGUCUGUAAUCCCAGCUACUCUGGAGGCUGAGGCAGGAGAAUCACUUGAACCCGGGAGGCUGAGAUUACAGUGAGCCGAGAUCACGCCACUGCACUCCAGCCUGGGUGACACAGCAAAACCCCGUCUCAAAAUAAAAUAAAAUAUUAUUUUGAAUUUUUUGCUAGCUUUAAAAAAAGGAGACAACAUCACAUAGUAUUAAAAUUUUUAAAUUCUCCUAGAAAAAAAAAUCAGAAUAUUGGGCAAAAGGGGACUCUUCUUCAUACAAGGCAAAACCAGUAGCUGCCCCCUUUAGACAGAGCUGGUGCUCUCGGGUCCACUCCAUAAAAUCAGUAAGAGGGUGCAAGUGGGGUCCCCAGAACCAUGGCCUUCUAGCCUCCAGCCCAGACCCUUGGUUCCACAGCUCUUGGCAGAUGGCAGAGCAGUCACGGCACUUUGUUAUUAGAAAAAGCAAGUGCUGCCGGGUGCCGUGGCUCACGCCUGUAAUCCCACCACUUUGGGAGGCCGAGGCGGGUGGAUCACAAGGUCAGGAGAUCAAGACCAUCUUGGCUAACACGGUGAAACCCCGUCUCUACUAAAAAUACAGAAAAAUUAGCCGGGAGUGGUGGCAGGUGCCUGUAGUCCCAGCUACUUGGGAGGCUAAGGAAGAAGAAUGGCGUGAACCCUGGAGGCGGAGCUUAUAGUGAGCCGAGAUGGCGCCACUGCACUCCGGCCUGGGUGACAGAGCUAGACUCUGUCUCAAAAAAAAAAAAAAAGAAAAAGAAAAGAAAAAAAAGAAAAAGAAAAAGCAAAAGCAAGUGCUAGGCCAGGCACAGUGGCUCACGCCUAUAAUCCUAGCACAUUGGGAGGCUGAGGCGGGCGGAUCAUCUGAAGUCAGAAGUUCGAGACCAGCCUGACCAAUAUGGUGAAACCCCGUCUCCACUAAAAAUACAAAAGUUAGCCAGGCAUGGCGGCGUGCACCUGUAGUCCCAGCUACUCAGGAGGCUGAGACAGGAGAAUUGCUUGAACCCGGGCGGCAGAGGUUGCGGUGAGCCGAGAUCCCGCCAUUGCACUCCAGCAUGGACGACAGAGGGAGACUCCGUCUAAAAAAAAAAAAGCAAGUGCUUCAUCCUCACCAAAAAGGAGCUAUUCUUUUUACUUGGGCAACCUUCUCUGAAAGCAAAGUCACCUGUCUUGUAAUGAAGCUUCGCAAUUAGGGUUUACACACGAUGUGGCAAAGGAACGCUCACAGUUUGCUGUCUCUUUGGCAUCAACUUCUCCCUGCACAUAAAGCGGGCAUUUCUCGAGCCUGGCUUUUUGGCUUUCCUUUGCUAGGCUCCAUGUAGACACACUGCCCUUUGGGGAGCUGUUGACAGGGUUGAUUAGAGAAUGACUAUCUUCGGUUACUAUGGGAGACACUGCUGGUUGUCCACCCAGUUCCUCCUUUGUUCCUUACUAUUUUGUUCACAGUGGCAAUAUUUUCAGGGAAGGUGAACCCAGCCCUAAGGAGUGAACUAUGAUUGGAUAGCUCACUCUGCGGAUUCCAGGUUUCCUUGUGAUUGGAUAGAACGCUGCGGAUUCCAGGCUUCGUUGUGAUUGGAUAGAACUUAGCGGAUUCCAGGCUUCCUUGUGAUUGGCUAGAACUCUGCGGAUUCCAGGCUUCCUUGUGAUUGGAUAGCUCACUCUGUGGAUUCCAGGCUUCCUUGACAGUAACUGGCUUAGGAGUAGGCAUAUGACCCAUUCUACUCAAAGAGGCAUAAGCGGACACUGACGUUUGCUGGCAGGGGAUGAGGAGCUUGGAAAAGAUCCUCCUCCCGUUUUGCCAUCUUUGUUUCUUGCCACAAUAGGAUGUAACCAUUGGCGCUGCAGCAGCCACCCUGCGACCAUGAAUGGAGAGCCAAGAGAAUGGCAGAGGGUAAAACACAGCUUUCCCAUUGUUUUGUUUUCUUUUGUUUUGUUUUGUUUUUUGUUUUGUGACAGUCUCAAACCGUGAGACGAAUAAAACCUCUUUUUUUUUUUUUUUUUUUUUUUUUUUUGAGAUGGGGUCUCGCUCUGUCACCCAGGCUGGAGUGCAGUGGCAUGGUCUC